UACGUAGGUCCCGAGCGUUGUCCGGAUUUAUUGGGCGUAAAGCGAGUGCAGGUGGUUUAUUAAGUCUGGUGUAAAAGGCAGUGGCUCAACCAUUGUAUGCAUUGGAAACUGGUAGACUCGAGUGCAGGAGAGGAGAGUGGAAUUCCAUGUGUAGCGGUGAAAUGCGUAGAUAUAUGGAGGAACACCGGUGGCGAAAGCGGCUCUCUGGCCUGUAACUGACACUGAGGCUCGAAAGCGUGGGGAGCAAACAGG
rnacentral:rRNA from 1 species